rnacentral:rRNA from 1 species
AUGGCCAGAAUCCAGUUGUUAAGUACCCCCAACUGCACGCGACACUUAAGUUCGGAAGAAAACGUUGCAGCCGGGAGGUGCGUGCAAAUCUUGGCUUAUUCGGCUGCCACCUUCAGGCAAAUCAUGUCUGGUUGCGACGAACAUGAAAUAGCAGACUUCUCUAGGGUCGUUGGAGGACAGACGUUGCAAGUGAAUGCUCUCCUGAUAGGGAAUACCAUCCUAAUGGGGGUCAUGGUCGGGAUAGGCGCUUACGGCCAUCACUACCGCCACCAUCCAUUGACUCGCUUCCUCUUCCUUGGUGCCACCAUAUUAUUCUUACCCAUCGUCUCCUACAUUGUAUCCAUCACUAAUAAUCAGAAUAUUGUGACUGUUCUCUCCAGUAGAAAUAGAAUGGUGACAGGGUUGUGUCGAAGCAAUCACAGAUUUAUGGUCUUAUUAUGUGCUACCGUUGUUCAGAUUGUUGGUAUCAAUACCACCGCAAUCGUUGCCGCUGAUGUUAGAGAAGGUCGAAGCAUUCCUCCCCCUACAGUACUACUUGUGCAAGCAAUAUGGACUACCUACCUUGGAUUCAACAUCAUAAAAGGUCCAAAUGCAAUGUCCCUACAAAAUGCCAUCAAAUAUAUAACAUUGCUUGCCAUUUUUUCACCAUUUCCACUUAUCUUUGCCAAAAUAGUCUUGAAGUAUUAUGCCUGGUACCAUGCCAAACAAUCAUUUGCAUUUGGACGCAAUCCUCGUCUUAUUGUUGGAUACAUGGAGCAGCUACCAGAUAGAAGUUAUCAUGCUGAGGUGGCCGGUGAGUAUACACCUCCCCUACUUAUUGUUUCAAGGGAGGACACUAUGUUGGUAGAGAAGCAGCCCCAUGGUUACCGGAUGUGCAAUACAGCUGAUAGGACAAGGAUAAACAACAACGCGGACUUAGUGACCAUUGACAAAGUUUGGGAGUUGGAUGUCAUUCUUCUCAAGUCAAAAACUCAGUUCGAAGAUCUAUGUUUUUCAUUUGCAUUGUUCAAGAUGUUACGGUGUCGUUUUGCAAAAUAUACCGUCACUGAAGCUGGAUUCAUGAAGGCUCAAAACUUCUUAUGGCAUGUGCUGCUCGAGGAUAGUGGUGAUACGCAGAUACUGGGGGUGAUUGCAUCUGAGCUUUCUUUUCUUCACGAUUAUUAUUAUUCAUCCCUUCCAAUCUCAUACUCCAAGAGCUGGAUACCAAUCUGGAGCAUAUCCAUUUCCAUCUUAAGCAUUGGUUACUGCUUAUUUAUCACAAUGAUUUUGAUGGCAUAUCUCGUGGCAAGUGGAGUGGCGAGUGGAGUUGAAUGGCAGGUUCUUUGUCAAGUAAAUUGCAUGGGAAGUCCCUAUGGAACUGGUGAUACCAAACAUUUUGGAAGUGUGUGGUUUGAUGUAUUGCCAUUGCUUUCACUUGGUGCAUUAGUCAUGCUUUCUGAAGCGAGGGAAAUUGCGUCCUACAUCUGCUCUGACUGGACUAAAGUAGCCUUAUUGUGCCACUAUAUUUCUUCGCGUGAAUAUCCUACAUUGCCAAAAUGGAUUGGCUUAUUGUUGCAGUGUAGAUGCAAGCUAGUGGAGCCUUGGCAGGAUAAAAUGAGCCAAUGCUCAAUCCUAGUGCUCCGCCGAAGAAAAACUCCAUUGGCUAUCCUCAGGCGUCCCAUUCCUCUGCCUGAGCAAAAGAAGAACGUUAAGGUACCCAGAGAAGUGAAGGCUGCCAUUGUCAACACACUGAGAAGCAUCAGGGGAGAUCUGAGAAACGGCAUGAUGUCUCUGCAGCAGUUGGGCAUUCAAGUUGGUGGCAACUUCCUCCAAGCAUGCAAUGCCAAAGGUACAUCCGACGCCUUGCUUUCUUGGCACAUCGCCACAAGCAUCUUUGAGGUGAGGUACCCACACUCAACAACUUCUGGCCAUGCAAGUGUCGCCACCCACUUGUCACGCUAUUGCGCCUACCUGGUGUCAUAUUCUCCGGAGCUACUUCCUAAUGACGAUGCAUGGAGCAAUAGCAUGUACAAGGCCACCAAGAAAGACGCCGAGCGCGUCCUCUCAGGCCGCAUCGCCAAGCCAACACCGGAGCUGCAAUAUCGACACUUGGUGGAGCUGCUGACUGCGAGAUCCAAGCAUGAGGUGCUCAAGGACGGUGCAAAGCUCGGCGAGCAACUGGUGGAGUUCAUGGAAGGGGAGGAGGCGAGCCAAGAAGAACUGUUGGUUGUUCUUCUUGGGUGGCUCCGACUUCCGAGGAGCUUCUCCGCGCUGCAGGUCAUCAAAUCCAGGUUGGGCAGUGCUUAG